rnacentral:antisense_RNA from 3 species
CUUCACCGAACCCAGCCACAACGGCUCCUGCUCGGUGCGCUCCUGGCCGUAGGUGGCGAGCAGCGCCUGCGCCUC